rnacentral:lncRNA from 1 species
GGAUUAGUCUGACAAAAUAUACCAAUGUCUACUCAAGCAGUUUUUAGUUCAGUAACCAAACUAGACUCCAUGUCUAAUCAGAUUAAGGAAGGCUAUUUAACCUAAGCACCAUGCUUAAUUUAAAAGCCAAUAGAAGUAUGGCGAGUACUUCCAAACCAACACUUGCUAGUAAAUAGACAAAGGUAGCAUGACAGCAUUUAUAGAGAUCUACUCAUGUGGAGAUGAAGUAGUGUGAUUAGUAUUAACAAAUUG